rnacentral:misc_RNA from 1 species
GGAAGCGUCCAUAUGGCGUUGGUCUGCUGGUUGGUGGUCUGGAUGAGUCUGGGGCUCAUCUUUACUACAACUGCCCGAGUGGAAAUUACUUUGAGUAUCAAGCUUUUGCCAUAGGAUCCCGUUCACAGGCUGCAAAGACAUACUUGGAAAGGAGGUUUGAAAACUUCAAGGACUCCUCUAGAGAUGAGUUGAUCAAAGAUGCACUGAUCGCUACCAGAGAAACCUUGCAAGGAGAAAAACUGACUUCCUCCAUAUGCACAAUUGCCAUUUUAGGAGUUGGGGAACCUUUUCAUAUAUUGGAUAGGGA